rnacentral:tRNA from 1 species
GGGCGAGUAGAUCAGUUGGUAGAUCGCGGCCUUCGCAAGGCCGAGGCCCUGGGUUCAAAUCCCAGCUCGUCCA